rnacentral:tRNA from 1 species
GGGCCCGUAGUUUAAUCUGGAUAGAGCAAUUGGCUUCGGACCAAUAAAUGGGGGUUCGAACAUCAGAACUAAGGUUUUGAUACCUUCUGAUUAGAAAGUCCCUCCGGGCUCG